UNGGAGAGGAAAGUGGAAUUCCUAGUGUAGCGGUGAAAUGCGUAGAUAUUAGGAAGAACACCAGUGGCGAAGGCGACUUUCUGGACGAAAACUGACGCUGAGGCGCGAAAGCCAGGGGAGCGAACGGGAUUAGAUACCCCGGUAGUCCUGNCCGUAAACGAUGGGUACUAGGUGUAGGAGGUAUCGACCCCUUCUGUGCCGGAGUUAACGCAAUAAGUACCCCGCCUGGGGAGUACGACCGCAAGGUUGAAACUCAAAGGAAUUGACGGGGGCCCUCACAAGCGGUGGAGUAUGUGGUUUAAUUCGACGCAACGCGAAGAACCUUACCAGGUCUUGACAUUGAUGGACAGAACCAGAGAUGGUUCCUCUUCUUCGGAAGCCAGAAAACAGGUGGUGCACGGUUGUCGUCAGCUCGCGUCGUGAGAUGUUGGGUUAAGUCCCGCAACGAGCGCAACCCCUAUCUUAUGUUGCCAGCACUUUGGGUGGGGACUCAUGAGAGACUGCCGCAGACAAUGCGGAGGAAGGCGGGGAUGACGUCAAAUCAUCAUGCCCCUUAUGACCUGGGCUACACACGUACUACAAUGGGAGUUAAUAGACGGAAGCGAGAUCGCGAGAUGGAGCAAACCCGAGAAACACUCUCUCAGUUCGGAUCGUAGGCUGCAACUCGCCUACGUGAAGUCGGAAUCGCUAGUAAUCGCAGGUCAGCAUACUGCGGUGAAUACGUUCCCGGGCCUUGUACACACCGCCCGUCACACCACGAAAGUCGGAAGUGCCCAAAGCCGGUGGGGUAACCUUCGGGAGCC
rnacentral:rRNA from 1 species